rnacentral:rRNA from 1 species
AUUGAACGCUGGCGGCAUGCCUUACACAUGCAAGUCGAACGGCAGCACGGGUGCUUGCACCUGGUGGCGAGUGGCGAACGGGUGAGUAAUACAUCGGAACAUGUCCUGUAGUGGGGGAUAGCCCGGCGAAAGCCGGAUUAAUACCGCAUACGAUCCACGGAUGAAAGCGGGGGACCUUCGGGCCUCGCGCUAUAGGGUUGGCCGAUGGCUGAUUAGCUAGUUGGUGGGGUAAAGGCCUACCAAGGCGACGAUCAGUAGCUGGUCUGAGAGGACGACCAGCCACACUGGGACUGAGACACGGCCCAGACUCCUACGGGAGGCAGCAGUGGGGAAUUUUGGACAAUGGGCGAAAGCCUGAACCAGCAAUGCCGCGUGUGUGAAGAAGGCCUUCGGGUUGUAAAGCACUUUUGUCCGGAAAGAAAUCCUUGACUCUAAUACAGUCGGGGGAUGACGGUACCGGAAGAAUAAGCACCGGCUAACUACGUG